UAGAGAGAGGGAGAGCAAGAACUCCCUUGAUUCAAUCCAUCAUAAAUUCCCCCAAAUCAAGAUCAAAUUAGAUGAUAAAGCUUUGCAUGAAUGAGGAUUCCUUAUCAUCUCAACCUAACAAACAUGUGGAUAUGAACAAUAUUAGCACGGACUUAAGCAUGGAGAGCUAACGGGUCAAGAGGAGGCAGGGAAGCGAAUUCGAAUACGGACGCAUAACGUUGUACGGAAUCACGGAUCAUCAUCACGAGGUGUAAACGGUCAAAGAUCUAGUCAUAAAAUAGAUUGUAUGGGGAAUGUGUGAUUAUGUAAUUUAGUAAACAUAAGUUAUGUUUUAUAUCCUAAAUGAGAACGAAGAAUGUAUUUAUUGUAAAAGAGUUAUUUUAAAAUGGA